UACGGAGGGAGCAAGCGUUACUCGGAAUUACUGGGCGUAAAGGGCGCGUAGGCGGAUAUUUAAGUCGGGGGUGAAAGCCCAGGGCUCAACCCUGGAACAGCCUUCGAUACUGGAUAUCUUGAGUACGGGAGAGGUGUGUGGAACUCCGAGUGUAGAGGUGAAAUUCGUAGAUAUUCGGAAGAACACCAGUGGCGAAGGCGACACACUGGCCCGUUACUGACGCUGAGGCGCGAAAGCGUGGGGAGCAAACAGG
rnacentral:rRNA from 1 species